rnacentral:tRNA from 1 species
UCUCUCAUAGCUCAGUUGGUAGAGCGCACGACUGUUAAUCGUAAGGUCAUGGGUUCGAUCCCCAUUGAGAGAG